GACGAACGCUGGCGGCGUGCUUAACACAUGCAAGUCGAACGGAAAGGCCCCUUUGGGGGUACUCGAGUGGCGAACGGGUGAGUAAAACGUGAGUAACCUGCCCUGGACUUCGGGAUAACUUCAGGAAACUGGGGCUAAUACCGGAUAGGAAUCCUUGCUGCAUGGUGGGGGUUGGAAAGCUUCGGCGGUUUUGGAUGGACUCGCGGCUUAUCAGCUUGUUGGUGGGGUAGUGGCUUACCAAGGCUUUGACGGGUAGCCGGCCUGAGAGGGCGACCGGCCACAUUGGGACUGAGAUACGGCCCAGACUCCUACGGGAGGCAGCAGUGGGGAAUAUUGCACAAUGGGCGGAAGCCUGAUGCAGCAACGCCGCGUGCGGGAUGACGGCCUUCGGGUUGUAAACCGCUUUCAGCAGGGGCGAAUCUUGUGGUGACGGUACCUGCAGAAGAAGCACCGGCUAACUACGUG
rnacentral:rRNA from 1 species